CCUGAGUCAUUUUCUUUUAAGGUAUCUUUACUUUUACUCAAGUAUGACAGGUGUGUACUUUUUCCACCACUGGCAACAUGCAUAUCUCUUCACAUACUGUACCAUGUUGAAAGGGCUCUGUGUGUGAAAUAUAUUAGAUUUGACAUUAAUGAUUCAAUCUAAUGAAGGUUGUGAUAUAAGGUAAUUUUACCCAUAUCAAUGUAUCUUACUGUAUAACUACAGGGUAUACACUGCUUGCAGUAAAUGUGCAUUUUAAAACUGUUAUCAUUCCUUUGAAGUUCCAAUAGGUCAGAGGUCUACCCUGUACCAACGGGUCAGAGAUCUACCCUGUACCAACGGGUCAGAGGUCUACCCUGUACCAACGGGUCUGAGGUCUACCCUGUACCAACGGGUCAGAGGUCUACCCUGUACCAAUGGGUUCUACACCUGUUGGGUCUGGCUAAUUUCCUCACAGUUUGUCUAGUUCCAUUGAUUGAAUCAGAAAACCCAAAUAGUCAUGGAUGGUGGUGGUGCAUCACUGAAAUCUCACAUAUACAGUCUGGUAGAAUGUAAAUUAUUAUAUCAUACUUUAUUAUAUUGGAUUGCAGUGUGUAUUGAGCAGGUUGUCUCCUUCCCAGUUUACAAUAUCAAGGGCACUACACUUAAUAGUACACAAUAGACCCUUACCUAAGAGGAGAAGUGUUCAUAUGGCCUGUUGAAUGUAGCCAGGACAUCAUGUAUACUGGAUCAUUAGUCCCAAAUGGCACCCUAUUCCCKUAAUAGUGCACUACUUUUUACCAUAUGCCUUAUGGGAUCUGGUCAAAACUAGUGCACUGUAUAGGGAAUAGGGUACCGUUUGGGACUCGGUCACUGUCUGUCUGUCAAUCCUGUUUCACUGUCUGGCAAACAAACAUCCACAUCCCCUCUAUCAUCACCAUCACAGCAUUCACAAAGCAGCAUUUGAGCCACCAUUAUUGAAGUGUGCUUCCAUAUUUAAAUCAGAACUGAUUGUAUUGUUUCUAUAGCUCUGUCAAACUGCACCCAUAAAAGCAUUUUUCUAUUUGGUUUUCUUCAUGUUUUUUUUGCAUUGUAUAUAAAUAAACACGAUUGCUGUAAACAGUACACCAUACAGCUGUAACCCGUUUAAACACCAUCUUAAAUGUUCAGUAGUUAAAUCAAUGUCUCUAUUUGAGUGUUGGAGUGAAGCAUAAACAGUUGGUGUACACUAAACACAUUGUCAAUUGAUAUUAAAUAAACGUGGAACUUAUGAAACAC